AAGUCAGACUAACUGAAAUAAGCCUGGCUUAUUUGGUAAACUUGUUUUAUGAAACAGGCCCCAGGUUAGUUUCCCAGCAUAAGAUGCCACAAUGACUGAGCUUGAGCUUUGGUAAUUUUGCUUUCGGAAACCAAAUCAAGUGAAAAUAAGUCAGAAUUACUGAAAUAAGCCUGGCUUAUUUGGUAAACCGGUUUUAUGAAACAAGCCCCCAGCUUUUCUGGCUCCUCCCACUUUUCCACUCUGGCAGGUAGCUGAUAGCCCUUUCCAGUUGCACCUGCUUACUAGCUGAGAGAGCAGUAGUAUAAAAGCCAAGCAGAACCCUCAGAAGAUGAGAACUUCUCUCCAGAGCAUGUCCUGUGUCCAGCUCAGUUUGUUGAAGCCUUUUGGAGUGCUGUAUGGUUGUUGUCUGUUAAUCUAAAGAACUGUUGACUAACUCUCUGUUGUUGCCAGAAGCUCUGGGUAAACUUUGUGCUCUGUGUUGGGCAAGAUACUGCAAGAGCUGUUUAACAUUUAUUUUGUAUUUCCCUGUUACCAACUGCUUAAGCCAUUGCGCUGUUGAUUGAUUGUUACCCUCUUGGAAGCUGUAGGGAGGCAACUGCAAUGAAGCAUCAAGAAAAACAUGAGCAGGCCAGCCAACCUGACACUAAUAAUUCAUGAGAAGACAUUUCUGACAAAGUGGAGGGUGAGCAAAGGUGGUGGCCACGUUUUGGAGCAGCACCUGGGUUUUGCAGAUGGCUAUGUAUUCUUCGGCUGUUUGUCUUUUUCCCCUAUUAUGUUUCUGUUGCCUAAAGAUUCUUUGUGAGGAUGAAUCCAGAGGACACAACAUAAUGCACUGCAAAACGUCCUAAGACAGGAGAAAUGGUGAAGAUGCACUGUUCCAGCAUUGGCAGACUGUAUUUUUAAGUGUUAUACGUGCAAUGUUUUAAAUAAAGAAUUUUAUAUUUUGUAAAUAUUGUGUCUGUUUUAAUUGAAUGCCAGUAGUACCUAUGUAGAGUAAAAAUAAAAUGAAUUCUACAUAAAAAAUGAUCAAAUCUAUAUUAAAAUGAAUGAAUUACAAUAGUAUACUGAUGAAUUGGAUUUUUUCCCAGUAAUUUACUGUAAAACAGUACAGUUUGCAACUGUAAAUCAAAUAUAGUUUGCUACUGUAAAUCUUAAUUACAGUGACUUACUGGCAACAGUUACUGUAAAAACCCUUUGAAAUGCCUAACAG